rnacentral:lncRNA from 1 species
GGAUCGUUAACCCACUGAGCAAGGGCAGGGACCGAACCCGCAACCUCAUGGUUCCUAGUCGGAUUCGUUAACCACUGCGCCACGACGGGAACUCCACAACGUAGUACAUUUAAAGCGCAGGCCAUGCAAGUAAGAUUCGGAGCUUAAUGACACUAGCACCAGGGCUGUUUUGGCUUCAAUAAUUUAAUACCGUUUAACUAUGGGAUGUGUCUCUGCCAAGGAAACAUCCCAUCAAGUCGGAUGACAUUUGCGUUUUGAUGAUUAUAGCCGCGGAACGCCUGUUUUGCAAAGAAACACGAUCAGGGCAUGAGAAUGGAAGCUUUCGCAACUCGCUUCAUAAGGAAAAGAUAUUCUGGUCUCCAGACACAUCAGGAUCUCCCCGGGCUUGGGAGUUAAACGCCAACCGUGAGAGCAGCUGCUGGAAGUUUGGCGGCUGAAAGGCUGCUGGGCUUCCAGGUCCUGAGCCACAGCAGCCUUUCUGCCGGAGGGUCUGCCCCCAGUCCCAGAGCCCAGGAAGCAGGGCCAGGGCUGAAGCAACUCCAAUCUUCAGUUCAUGACAAGAGCCAACCAUACAUUUUGAGACCCCUUCAAUUGUGAUGCAAAAACGCCUAUGACUUGGUAGAACAGGUAACAGCAAAAUCGCCGUGGUUUUUUGGUCAACAGACGGGGGGGAAGGUCACGGGUAUCAGGCAGACAUCAGUGAAAAUAACCAUGAGCUCUUCUUCUUUCAUCCAAGGUCAUUGGCCCCUGAGACCCGAUGCUCAGAAAUCUUGUUUGAGCGUCUGGGGUGAGAAGGAGGGGUCCAGGCUUAUGGUUUAAAAGGAUUCCUGGGGCUGAGGAAAACCCAGAACCUUCAGGAACAGAGAAGCCUGGUCCUCGAGGUGGGAUCUUCGGGUCAAAAUGUUUUCUUUACAACUUCAGCUGGUGAAACCUGGUACACAGGUCAUCACCUGAGUGGGUGGUGCCCUGGGGGUGAGCAGGAAGCAACGACUCCGGCCAAGGGCAGGAAGGACAGGAGGGACAGGCGAUGGCCACCAAGGCGCUGCCUCGGCCGGAGGCGGUGGAAGCUUCCAGGGGACGGUCUCAGGGAGGGGCCUGAGCCAAGCUGCCUGUGUGUAAACAGCUCGAGGACCCUGAGAUCCCCCGAAAUGUCGCCGAGCUGGGAAACGGUUCACGGACAAGCUCGUUGGGGGAGGACCAUCAGCAACUUCUGGAAAGGCGUUUCCGGGGAGGGGUGCGGUGUCCUGGAGAGAAAGGACCAGAGCCAGAGAGGACUCUGAGCACGUGGCCUGGACACCGAGGCCAAGGUCUACAAGGCUGGGCAGAGGCCGGGACUCCCCACAGGCCUAGUGGGCUUCCAGAAGCCUCCACCACGUACCCUCUGAGCAGCAGAAGCAGCCUUUGAAAUGCUGGCUCUGCCGCAGGUCUUGCUGGGCGAACCCCACGGGGCGUGAGCCGGCACCGCUCCUAGAGGGACCCUCAGCAUCGUGAUCGAGACACACUGGCCUUACUUUGGAGAAAGAGCAUCACUUGGGGAAGAGCAGGGAGCCCUGGGCGGGGGCCAAGGGGAGGGUGGCCUGUCCACUCAGCGGGAAGAAGGAGCAUGGAUGGAGCGUGACCUUGGGCCCGUCCAAGGGGGAAAGAUGGGCUUGGAUGAAGUGUGACCUUGUUGAGCUACCGACAGCCGUGCCUUAAAGGCUUCAGCAAACGAGGCGAACAUGCUACGGGGGGAGAACCGUGCUGAAACCAAAUUCUGCCAGAGAGAAUAAGGCAAUGUAUUGGGACAUACUUGGAGCCUCUCGCUCAAGGAACUGCAAACAAACAAGUGUCACGGCUGACCCAGGGGUGGCCGAGGACAAGCCAGGUCGGGGGCCCAGAACCCAAGGGCACCUGGCACAGGCGCCCUGUGUGUGCGAGGAAGGAGGCGCGAUGCUGUCCAUGACUGCUCAGCUCUGCCCCACGUGGCAAAACCAACAGCGCCACGGGACCAAGACGGGGACCUGCGAGGAGGUGGCUAACCUUGCUCUGGGUUCGGGUGGAUGUGGGAAGACAGGCUCGGGCGCCGCUGCACUUGAAGAGGGGCAGACACAUCUCCUAGAGCUUGAGGAAGAAGGAGGCUGCGGGCGGGGGCUUCCGGCGGAGCAGAGGGAGGAAGAGGCUCUUAGCAUCCUCCUGGAAGAAGGGAAAAGCCGGCUGCCCAGGGCCGGGGAGAACCAGAGAGGAGGGGAGAGCGCUGCAUGCAGGGUCUGUGUCACCUGAGACCUCAGAGGAGGGCACACAGGUGACCAGGAAAGGUGCAGGGACCGGAGGCAAAGGGCCCGGCUGAUGGGAUCCAGCUGGGGAUGGCAGGGUGCAGAGAAAGGCGAGCCACAGAGAAGGAGAGACUGGAAGACAAAACAGGGAACGGGCCGGGGGGGUGGGGGCCGGAGGCCUAAACACUGAGGCUGGAAAGCCAGGCGCUGAUGCAUCAGAAACACAGGUUUAAGUGGCGCAGAACCCAGGGCGCCCGUCCAUAGACUCCAGUGGAAACAGCGACCUGGAGAGAUACCCGAGCUGGAGGCAGAGCCAGAGCGGAGAGAGGGAGCCCUGAGUGUGAGGUCGGGAGCCUGAGAUUCCGGACACCUGCCAGAGGAAGGCAGUGUCAACACGGAUGCGAGCUGUGUUUACUAAGUGGAAUACAGAGCUCACGGGUCCUCAGUGGGAAACGCACGUGGCCGGGAGAGUGAAAGACCCCGUGUCUAAAUUCCUCUGCGCUCUGAAUAAACGAUGAAGGGACAUGAUCAUUUCAGAAACAGAGUCUCAGACAGAGAAAACAAACGUACGUACGUUCCCAAAGGGGAAAGGCGGGGAGGGGUGAAUUGGGAGUUUGGGAUUCACGGACACACAGCACGGUACACAAAAUAGACAAACAAGGACCCAUGUAGAGAACGGGGAACCCUGUUCAAUAUCCUGUAAUAACCUAUAAUGGCAAAGACUCUAUCCAUCCAUCCAUCUAUCCAUCUACACGUAUAACUGAAUCACUUAGCUGUGCACCUGGAACUUUUGAAAUUGAUUAUACUUCAAUUUUCUAGAAAGCAUGAAGCUUUCCAACAGGAAGGGUAGGCUGGGGAAAGAAAUUUACUGAAAGGUGGAGAACGGAUCAAAAGUGACCCAGGGGACCAAAUCUUGAGAUUUAGGGCUGUCAGAAUCCAGGAUCCAGAGAUGCUUGCGCAGGUUCAAAAGCAAACAGUAAACUCUCCGUGGAACGCGGACUUGGAGGAGAGGCGAGUGAGCAGAGGUGAUGAGCCGUUAUGGCCGAGAAAGAGCAGAGCACGCGGCUCCUCGGAGGGGGACGCUGUCUUUCCGGAUGGUGCUAUGGCAACGGCCGAAAUUAGCUGAUCAAAACUCAAGGGGUUUAGCAUGGUGUGGUCCCGCAGGCAUGGAACCCAGAGAAAAGCCCCCUGGGAGGAGGAGAGGCCCCUUGGGAGGGGGCGUAUCCGUGGGGACCCGAGGUCCAGCAGUGCCCUCCUCGUCUCCCUCCCCCACGCCUGCGGUCUCCCCAUUGGUAUCGUGGGGUCUCCUGGCCACGCUGGUCGAUGCAGAGGGACGCGG